rnacentral:rRNA from 1 species
UACGAAGGGGGGCUAGCGUUGUUCGGAAUUACUGGGCGUAAAGCGUAUGCAGGCGGACUUUUAAGUCGGGGGUGAAAUCCCGAGGCUCAACCUCGGAACUGCCUUCGAUACUGGAAGUCUUGAGUCCGGGAGAGGUGAGUGGAACUCCCAGUGUAGAGGUGAAAUUCGUAGAUAUUUGGGAAGAACACCAGUGGCGAAGGCGGCUCACUGGUCCGAUACUGACGCUGAGGUGCGAAAGCGUGGGGAGCAAACAGG